rnacentral:rRNA from 1 species
GACGAACGCUGGCGGCGUGCUUAACACAUGCAAGUCGAACGGAGUGGCGAACGGGUGAGUAACGCGUGGGUGAUCUGCCUUGCACUUCGGGAUAAGGUUGGGAAACUGGGUGUAAUACCGGAUAGUGCAAGAUGAGCUCGCGGCCUAUCAGCUUGUUGGUGGGGUAAUGGCCUACCAAGGCGUCGACGGGUAGCCGGCCUGAGCGGGUGUACGGCCACAUUGGUCCUGAGAGACGGACCAGAAGCCUACGGGAGGCAGCAGUUGAGACUAUUGCACAAUGGGCGGACGCCUGAUGCAGCGACGCCGCGUGGGGGAUGAAGGCUUUCGGGUUGUAAACUCCUGUCGACAGGGACGCGGUACCUGUAUAAGAAGCACCGGCUAACUACGUGCCAGCAGCCGCGGUAAUAC